rnacentral:rRNA from 1 species
UACGUAGGGGGCGAGCGUUGUCCGGAUUUACUGGGCGUAAAGGGUGAGUAGGCGGUUGUAUAUGUCAGGUGUAAAAGGCUAUGGCUUAACCAUGGUUAGCACUUGAAACUGUGCAACUUGAGUGCAGGAGAGGUAAGCGGAAUUCCUAGUGUAGCGGUGAAAUGCGUAGAUAUUAGGAGGAACACCAGUGGCGAAGGCGGCUUACUGGACUGUAACUGACGCCGAGUCACGAAAGCGUGGGUAGCAAACAGGAUUAGAUACCCUGGUAGUCCACGCUGUAAACGAUGAGUGCUAGGUGUUGGGUAGCGAUACUCAGUGCCGGAGUAAACACAAUAAGCACUCCGCCUGGGGAGUACGGUCGCAAGACUGAA